CUUUUUAGGGCCGUACCUGCAGCAUAUGGAAGUUCCCAGGCUAGGGCUUGAAUCAGAGCGGUAGCUGCCAGCCUAUGCCACAGCCACAGCAAUAAGGGAUCUGAGCUGCGUCUGCGACCUGCACCACAGCUCAUGGCAACACUGGAUCCUUAACCCAUUGAGCAAGGCCAGAGAUCAAAGUUGCAACAUUAUGGAUACUAGUUGAGUUCAUUACCACUGAGCCUCGAUCGGAACUCCUCCCCUCCCUUUUUUUUUUUUAAAGACAGGCUGCAUCCUCCUUCCCUUGCUGAAGAAUUAGAGGUGCCAGGAAGGGUCCUGGAGGUGGAGGGGAGUGUGUCAGUCCUACAGGGCUGGGGAAGGCCUCUUAGAGAUGGUGAUGUUUGGUUUGAACUGUGAAAGAUUAGUAGGGUCUCCAGACAGGGGACCUGUGAGCCUGUGAGGGGCAGAUAGGCAGAAUGUGGCAGACAAAGGGAGCAAGAGGAACCGCAGAGUGUAAGGGAUUGGAGGUGAGUGGGGAGGCCAGGCCAGAGGGAUCUGACUGAUGUCUUGCAGGUAAUGGGGGAGCCAGGAGGUUGCCAGAUAGGGGAGUGCUGUGAGCAGGUGUAGAGCUGGACUACAGACAUGAGGCUGGGAUUACAGCUACCGGGAGAAUAAGAUUCUGAGCUGGGGUCUGUGGGGGCACGGAGGUCCCCAGGCCUUAACAUAGUGUCUAUUUAAUUCUCAUAAGCCCACAUUCAUUUCCAUCUUGCCAUCACCCAAGCCUCCAAGUCUUGGGCCCCCAUCAUCUCUGGCCUGAAAGACUAUGGCAGCCUCUUCACUGGGCUUCCCUUCUGCACACCCCCACCCACAACAGCCCAUUCCUCAUAAAGGACAAAACAGAAGGGGUUUACAAAACAUUACCAUGGUGACUCUACCCCCCUGGCUAAGACCCUUCAAUGACACCCCACUGCCUUGAGCAUCAAGACCAAAUUUGAAUUCUUAACUUGGCAUUCCAGGCCCUUAGCAAUCAGCCCCUACACCCAUUAUGUGCAGCCUCCUCUCCCUAAAACAUUCCAGCUGACCUGGGCUAGUUACAAUCUCAGUCACCGGCCUCUUAGCCUUUGUCCUCUCCCACCUCUCCAUCCACUAUGGAUAUGCCAUCUUAGCCUUUAAGUAGCAGGUUAAAGCUACCAAGUCUAAGUCACCUUUCCAAUCCUUGUCCUCAGUGCCCUGCUUUUGAUGUUACCGUUGUGGCUCAGUGGGUUAAGAACCCUACAUAGUGUCUGUGAGGAGGCCAGUUUGAUCCCUGGCCUUGCACAAUGGGUUAAGGAUCUGGCACUGCCGUGAGCUGUGGUGUAUAUAGGUUGUAGAUGCAGCUUGGCUGUGGUGUAGCUACAGCUCCGAUUCGACUCCUAGCCUGGGAACUUCCACAUGCUACAGGUGUGGCUGUAAAAAGGAAAGGAAAAAAAAAAGUGGGGGGGGUGGGAGUUAUUCUCAAAAGAAAUACCGCCUGGGAGUUCUUGCUGUAGCACAGCAGGUUAAGGACCUGACAUUAUCUCUGUGGCCGGCAUGGGUUCAAUCCCUGGCCAGAUGCAGUGGGUUAAGGAUCCAGCAUGGUUUCACCUCAGAUGUGAUCCCUGACCCGGGAACUUCCAUAUCCUUGAGUAUGGCCAAAACAAAACAAAAAAACCCCAAAACAAAAACAACCCCCCCUAAUCCAGACACCAGACUCCAGGAGGGAUAUGCUGGGACAAAGGUGAAUCCUCAAAGACAUUACAUAUUGGCAGAGUUGUGAUGGCAGCCUCUGUGUACAGGGGCUUCUAGGUGCUAGGCUCUGUGCUAGGGGUGACUCCCAUAUGACCAUAUUUCAUCUUACAACAACCCAGUGGUGUAGGGACCACCAGUGGUGUGGGGACCACAGCACCCCUGAUUUACACACAAAGAACCAGCAGUUUAGCAAGCAAGUGCUUUGCUCUGAGUCACAUGGCUGGAUCUACAGCUGGCACCAAGAGCUACCUGCUGUCAAAAAUACAUUGAUGAGGCAGAUCUGUGGCAUCCUCUGGUAAAGGAAACCAGCCCAGGUCUGGAGGACAGUGGCAGCUAUAACAAAGGAGGGAGCAAGGGCAAGCCCUGGGGCUGCAGGAUGGGAGAUGGGACAGUAAGAAAGAGCCAUGGAAGCACAGCAUGAGGCGGAAGAUGGAUCAGGUGUGGACUUUUCAGAGCUAAGCCCUUGGAAGGUAGGUGGUGGGGAUGCUGAGUCCCGAUUAUUUCUGGAACUCAAUGGGGGCAGACGGGCAGCCUCAGAAAAAGUUGGUGCAAAAGGGAAGGCAAAAGUUGCUGGAGUGGAACUCUCUGGUGCCUUAGUGGUUAAGGAUUCCUUGUUGUCACAACUUGUGGCAUAGGUUCGAUCCCUGUCUGGGGAACUUCUGCAUGCCCCAUGCGAGGCCAAAAAAGUUGCUUGGGUAUGCACCCAGGAUAGGAAUCUGGUUUGUGAAUGGAGGCAAGAGGUAGCAAAUCUGAUUCUGUCCACAAGAGGGUGCCCAGCACCAGGCAAUGAAGCUGCCCUGGGACUUGGGGGUGGUUUGUUGCUGGUUCCCCAGCCCUCCUGGGAGGGAAGAAGUGGAGAAGGGGAUAAACCCAAUUCACUACCUUGAAAUUCCAGCAUCAGAAACAAGCACAGAUGGAAAGGAUGAAUUUAGGUCGGUGAGUGUUUUCUCACUGAGACCCUUAUCAUCUCAGGCCAGUUAUUUCCCUUUAUAUUGAGAAACACAAGUCAGUAGGUUUCUUGACUGCAUCCUUGGUAAAAUUUGAACGGUCUCUUCCUUUGAAACAUACCUUCCAAAUGGAACAACUAUUUCCUAUUUUCCAUCUCCCUGUGUCUCUACGACAAGGAAUCAUACAGUAAUACAUAUAUCAAACAGUAGUGCAGUAUUUCAAUAAUUGCAAUUUCCAGGAUUCUAUUUUCAAAUCUGCCUAGUCUCUCAGGUUUUGCUCAUUUUUUUUAGCACCAUCUUUAGAGGUUUCAGAGUUAUUUUAUAUUCUGUGCCUGAUAAUAACAGUAUCUGAAAUUCCACGGGUUUUAUUUAUUUACUUACUUAUUGGCUGCAACUGUAGCAUGUGGAAGUUUCCAGGCCAGGGUUUGGACCUGUGACACAGCAGCAACCCAAGCUGCUGCAGUGACAAUGACGGAUCCUUAACCUGUUGGACCACAAGAGAACACCAGGAAGUAUUUUAUUGUUGCUCCAAGUUUAAGAAUUUUCACUGAGAGAAAAUCAACACUUUCAGCAAAUUUCCCUCAUGGCUCUGCUUCUGAAUCUUGGUUUUCACAGACAUAUUUCUCUCCAAUAUGGACAAUCAUUCUACUCACGAUUGGCGCAUCAAUCUUAACUUCCAAUACUUGCCCUUUACUUAGGAAGCUCUUCAGGACUGUUUUUAAUCCAGUAAGAGUGGCUUCAUCGAAAGGAGAUGUAGUGAUAACUGCAAGGUACUUCUCCAGUGUGGACAGACAUCAUGGUAGAAAAAGCAGAAAUGACUCCAGGGUUAUUGCUCAAGCGACCAUUUUCAGCAAGCAAAUUGAUCAGGUUGGCUGUGAGGGGAGAAAACCUCUCUUUUGCUAUCAUGUCAUAUAGGCUUUUCACUUUAAUGCAAUGCUUUACAUAGGGAUUCAUAAUAGGAGCAACCAAGUUUUCCUUCAAGAUUUGUGCUACUCCCAACAAUUCUUUUGCUACUUGUUCCAGUUUAUUCUGAUUAGAAACAGCAGAUUAAAGAGCAGUGACAUAGUGACCUUCGAUACCACAUAUGUGAACAGGUGGCCUGACCACGGAUGUACUGAAGUAUUAUUGCCCCUGCUGGGAGGUCAGGACACUGCUGGGCAGCCUC
rnacentral:lncRNA from 1 species